AACGAACGCUGGCGGCAUGCCUAACACAUGCAAGUCGAACGAGACCUUCGGGUCUAGUGGCGCACGGGUGCGUAACGCGUAGGAACCUGCCCUUAGGUUCGGAAUAACUCCCCGAAAGGGGUGCUAAUACCGGAUAAUCUCUUCGGACCAAAGAUUCAUCGCCUUUGGAUGGGCCCGCGUUGGAUUAGCUAGUUGGUAGGGUAACAGCCUACCAAGGCGACGAUCCAUAGCUGGUCUGAGAGGAUGAUCAGCCACACUGGGACUGAGACACGGCCCAGACUCCUACGAGAGGCAGCAGUGGGGAAUAUUGGACAAGGGGCGAAAGCCGGAGCCAGCAAUGCCGCGUGAGUGAUGAAGGCCUUAGGGUUGUAAAGCUCUUUUACCCGGGAUGAUAAUGACAGUACCGGGAGAAUAGGCGCCGGCUAACUCCGUG
rnacentral:rRNA from 1 species